ensembl:misc_RNA
CGGCGGGCGUGGUGCUUCCGGCCAGUGCCUAGAGGCGCUGGAGGCAGCAGGGCCGCGAGGAGGGCUCGCUGGGCCGCGCCGAGCUGGGCUCUGUGGGAAGGCGCGGACAGUCGGGGUCUGCUGCCCGCCCCGCGGCGCCCGGCUGGGUCCUGGCGCACAAAGAUGCGUGCCUUGCCGCCGCCCUCCUCCCGGCUUUGCGCUCCGGA